GUGAAAUGUCUGGGUCCAGGCCACUGUUUUACAAUGGUGUUUUCCUGUGAAAUGUCUUGGUCCAGGCCACUGUUUUAGAAUGGUGUUUUCCUGUGAAAUGUCUUGGUCCAGGCCACUGUUUAGAAUGGUGUUUUCCUGUGAAAUGUCUUGGUCCAGGCCACUGUUUAGAAUGGUGUUUUCCUGUGAAAUGUCUUGGACCAGGCCACUGUUUAGAAUGGUGUUUUCCUGUGAAAUGUCUUGGACCAGGCCCCCCAUUGACCAAAUGUCUUGGACCAGGCCUGGGCCCCCAAUGAUCAAAUGUCUUGGACCAAGCCUGGGCCCCCACUGACCAAAUGUUUUGGACCGGGCCUGGGCCCCCACUGACCUAAUGUCUUGGACCGGGCCUGGGCCCCCACUGACCUAAUGUCUUGGACCGGGCCUGGGCCCCCACUGACCUAAU
rnacentral:lncRNA from 1 species